GACCGAUUUUGCGUUUGAAAUUAAUAAAUUAAUUAAAACAACAUUAUAAUAGCUAUAUCAUUUUCUCACCUGAUGAUAUCAUUUAUCUGUAUUUUUUAACUUUUUUUCUUUAAAGUAGUUUCGAAAAUGGAAAUGGGACACAAUGAAACUUUGCAGAUUUACCUGGCGUAACAGAAUAAGACGCCAUUAGCCGUCAAACAAAUAUAUCAUAAUGGGUUGUUAUUUCAUGGCCAUUCGCGGCCAAAUUUUUUUUUAUGAAAAUCGGCAAAAUAAAAGUCGAUAAGAAGGCUUAUACUUCAGUUUUCGUUGUGAAAUGUUACCCGGGACAGCCCAUUAUUUUUCUAAAAUCCAUAAUCAAAUGCAUAACAACUCGAACAAAUGCGUUUUAUAUUGUUUUAUGGAAGAUAAAUGAACAAGGAAAUUUAUAUCCAGCACAAUGAUAUCUUUGUUUUAAUUGAAAUACGUUUUUUUUCUGCACCUGCAGCGCAGUUUUACCCACAAAACAUACAAAAAACGUAAACGGUACGAACAUCCCGCGUAACGUCAAAGCAAUCUAUGGAAUUGCGAAAAUAAGGUCCACAUUGGUCAAUUAUAUACUUAUAAUAUAGAAUAGAAUAGGAUAGAAUAGAAUAGAAUAUUUUUAUUAACCAAAUAAGGGCCCCAGGAGGGCAUAUAGCAUACAGACAAUAUUAUUAUAAACAAUAACAUAUGAAAUACACAGACAAUACAAUAUAUAUAACAAGUGUUAACAAAAUAAUAAAGUAAAAGUAGCAAUGUAUUAUUAUUCAAUGAAUACUACAUGUAUGUUGAAUUCAGUGACUCAAGUGCACCCGGUAAGUGUAUUUUCACUUUGAAAAGACCAACAAGAGGCAUUAGUAGUUUGUGGGGAGAAAAUAAAAAAAAAAUAAAAAAAAACAAUUUAAGCACUCGCACAUUUGACCAUGAGGUAUACUGCAAAUAACAAGUAUUAUUUAAUAAAGGAUAUUUAGUAUGACUUAUCUGCAGA
rnacentral:lncRNA from 1 species